rnacentral:rRNA from 1 species
UUGGGAGCUCUCCCAUAUGGUCGACCUGCAGGCGGCCGCGAAUUCACUAGUGAUUAGAGUUUGAUCAUGGCUCAGAACGAACGCUUUCGGUAUGCUUAACACAUGCAAGUCGAACGGAUUUAUUUAGAGCUUGCUUUAAAUAAAUUAGUGGCAGACGGGUGAGUAACACGUGGGAAUCUGCCCAUCAGUACGGAAUAACAUUUAGAAAUAAUUGCUAAUACCGUAUAUUCUCUUUGGAGGAAAGAUUUAUCGCUGAUGGAUGAGCCCGCGCCAGAUUAGGUAGUUGGUAGGGUAAUGGCCUACCAAGCCAAUGAUCUGUAGCUGGUUUGAGAGAAUGAUCAGCCACACUGGGACUGAGACACGGCCCAGACUCCUACGGGAGGCAGCAGUGGGGAAUAUUGGACAAUGGGCGAAAGCCUGAUCCAGCAAUACCGAGUGGGUGAUGAAGGCCUUAGGGUUGUAAAGCCCUUUUCAGCAGGGAAGAUAAUGACGGUAC